rnacentral:misc_RNA from 2 species
AACGCAUAUUGCGCUCUUUGGUAUUCCGAAGAGCAUGCUUGUUUGAGUAUCAGUAAACACCUCAAAGACUUUCAAUUUGUUUUGAAUGGCUUUGGACUUGAGCAAUCCCAACACCAGUCUUUACGAUCGGUGGAGGGUUGCUUGAAAUGCAGGUGCAGCUGGACAUUCUCCUGAGCUAAAAGCAUAUUUAUUUAGUCCCGUCAAACGGAUUAUUACUUUUGCUGCAGCUAACAUAAAGGGAGUUUGACCGUAUUGGCUGACUGAUGCAGGAUUUCACAAGGGUCGGCAACGAUUCUUGUAAAACUCGAUCUCAAAUCAAGUAAGACUACCCGCUGAACUUAA